rnacentral:rRNA from 1 species
UACGAAGGUGGCAAGCGUUACUCGGAAUUACUAGGCGUAAAGGGCAGGUAGGUGGUUUGGUAAGUCUGUUGUGUAAGCUCCCGGCUUAACCGGGAGAGGUCAACAGAAACUACCAGGCUUGAGUGUGGGAGAGGUUACUGGAAUUCCCGGUGUAGCGGUGAAAUGCGCAGAGAUCGGGAGGAACACCAAUGGCGAAAGCAGGUAACUGGACCACUACUGACACUAAGCUGCGAAAGCUAGGGGAGCAAACAGG